AAGUCACGUGCUCUACCAACUGAACCAGCCAAGUGCCCCUCAGCUGGAAGCAGAGAAUCCAGUGGGGGAAUCCAAGGCACUAGAGGAUGAUAAAGCCAAUAUGUAGAAGGAGCCGUGUAACCUGAAAGACUACAUAGAACCAAGCCUCCUUGAUACCCUCCCCCACCCCGCCCUGCCACUGACUUCUAGGAGAGUAAAGUAAGCAAGAAAUGAGUUUU